rnacentral:rRNA from 1 species
AGUGAACGCUGGCGGUAGGCCUAACACAUGCAAGUCGAACGGCAGCACAGUAAGAGCUUGCUCUUACGGGUGGCGAGUGGCGGACGGGUGAGGAAUACAUCGGAAUCUACUUUUUCGGGGGGGAUAACGUAGGGAAACUUACGCUAAUACCGCAUACGACCUACGGGUGAAAGCAGGGGAUAGUCGGACCUUGCGCGAAUGAAUGAGCCGAUGUCGGAUUAGCUAGUUGGCGGGGUAAAGGCCCACCAAGGCGACGAUCCGUAGCUGGUCUGAGAGGAUGAUCAGCCACACUGGAACUGAGACACGGUCCAGACUCCUACGGGAGGCAGCAGUGGGGAAUAUUGGACAAUGGGCGCAAGCCUGAUCCAGCCAUACCGCGUGGGUGAAGAAGGCCUUCGGGUUGUAAAGCCCUUUUGUUGGGAAAGAAAAGCAGCAGGUUAAUACCCCGCUGUUCUGACGGUACCCAAAGAAUAAGCACCGGCUAACUUCGUG